AUUCUCUCUCUCUCCCCCUAUCUCUCUGCCCCUCCCCUGCUUGCUCACUCUCUCUCUCUCUCAAAAUAAAAUUAAAAACAAUUAAAUGCAAAGUGGAGUUAGAAUUCUCUACUUCUCAGGAUGAUGUCUAGUAUCUUGAUUAGGUGGUUCAUCAAUCUCACUUAUGCUUUUAUACUUUCAUUACAUACAUAUCAAUCCCUACCCAAUGUAUACCGCUGUUUUACCUAUAGUAACAUUACAUCAAUAGUAUCCUACUGCAUAUUCCAGCUCCCUCCCUCUCUCUCCACCAAAGAGAGAAAUGGAUUUUAGUUAGGUUACCACAUUUGAUAUCAAAAAUAUUCACUCUUAUAUUUUACAUUUCUGUUCUGUAUUCUGGUGAAGUUUUCUACAGAAAUAAAUACUUGCUGUUUUAAUAAUACGGUUUUACCUUGAAAACUAAAUGUAUGGCAUUGGAAAUAAGGGGAUCCCUUUACAUUCAAUGAUAUUCAGAGAUAGAAAAAUGCAUAAAUUAUUUUAGAGGAAGUUUACAAAAUGUUUAAAUGAUGUACAGAUGUGUAUUUUAGGAUGAUUCAGUAAAGACUACAUUAAAUUGGAGGAAAGAAAGCCUAUUGUUAACUUCUAAGAGCUUCAUGAGGAAGAUCUCAAUGCAUUGCUUCUCUGUAGAGAAGGCUGAAAUUUGGUAGGUAGGAGGCAAGGCCACACAGAUUCCAGAACUACACAAACUCCCAUCAGUAUUUCAUUUACAGAUUCUGAAAACAGGUUCCUACACUGGGAAUUCAAAGGAUUCCAGUACCACAAACAAAUAAAGAUCUGCAGGUUUCUCUAAUGGUGGUCAAAGUCAGCUGCAAAGUUUGGGCAAAGCUAAUUUAUACUAAUCUGGCAUCAAAGAGAUAAAUAGACGGACACUCCUAAAAAUGAAAAACAGGAAGUUCUUUUCAAUAUCUCUAAUAUACAUACUGUUCUAUUAAAGUCUGUUUAUCUAAUUUCAUUUAUGUUUUCUGCCUCACUGAUAGUCUGAGGAUUCUUAUGCCAAGCUUCGUAAUAAGUUAAUAAAUGAAUUGAAUGCUU